CCAAGGGUUCCAGGGCUAGGCUAAUCCGCCCUGGGAUAGUCGGGACCUAAGGCGAGGCCGUCAGGCGUAGUCGAUGGACGACCAGUUGAUAUUCUGGUACCGGCGUGUUUCCGCCAAUAUUGCUUUACUGGAUACUAAGCCGUCUUUUCCUGGUUCCUGCUUUCGGGUGGGGGUUGGGGUUUGUUCGGUGGCCUGAUGGUGGAGUGGUAAGCGGUCAGGGGUGACGCAGGAAGGUAGCCGGAGCGCGCCGGUGGUUGUGCGCGUCUAAGGUUGUGGCCCGUCUCUUUGGUAAAUCCGGGAGGCUUUGUGGGUGAGGGCUGAUGGGGACCCUGUUUUGGGGGACUUCGGUGAUCCUAUGCUGCCUAGAAAAUCCUCGGCGUGAGGAAACAUGCCGCCCGUACCCUAAACCGACUCAGGUGGUCAGGUAGAGGAUACCAAGGCGAUCGAGUGAAUCGUGGUUAAGGAACUCGGCAAAAUGCCCCCGUAACUUCGGGAGAAGGGGGGCCUGAACUGUGUACCAUCCGUGCGGUGGGAAGCGGGGAGGGCCGCAGAGGCCAGGGAGAAGCGACUGUUUACUAAAAACACAGGUCCGUGCGAAGCCGCAAGGCGAUGUAUACGGACUGACGCCUGCCCGGUGCUGGAAGGUUAAGAGGACCYGUCAGCCCUUUUUGGGUGAAGCGGAGAAUUUAAGCCCCAGUAAACGGCGGUGGUAACUAUAACCAUCCUAAGGUAGCGAAAUUCCUUGUCGGGUAAGUUCCGACCUGCACGAAUGGCGUAACGACUUCUCUACUGUCUCAACCGCGAACUCGGCGAAAUUGCAUUACGAGUAAAGAUGCUCGUUACGCGCAGCAGGACGGAAAGACCCCGGGACCUUUACUAUAGCUUGGUAUUGGUGUUCGGUUCGGAUUGUGUAGGAUAGGUGGGAGAUUUUGAAGCGGUGCCGCCAGGUGUCGUGGAGUCGUCGUUGAAAUACCACUCUGUUCGUUUCGGAUGUCUAACCUUGGACCGUUAUCCGGUUUGGGGACAGUGCCUGGUGGGUAGUUUAACUGGGGCGGUUGCCUCCUAAAGAGUAACGGAGGCGCCCAAAGGUUCCCUCAGCCUGGUUGGCAAUCAGGUGUUGAGUGUAAGUGCACAAGGGAGCUUGACUGUGAGACCGACGGGUCGAGCAGGGACGAAAGUCGGGACUAGUGAUCCGGCGGCACCGAGUGGAAGGGCCGUCGCUCAACGGAUAAAAGGUACCCCGGGGAUAACAGGCUGAUCUUGCCCAAGAGUCCAUAUCGACGGCAUGGUUUGGCACCUCGAUGUCGGCUCGUCGCAUCCUGGGGCUGGAGUAGGUCCCAAGGGUUGGGCUGUUCGCCCAUUAAAGCGGUACGCGAGCUGGGUUUAGAACGUCGUGAGACAGUUCGGUCACUAUCCGCUGCGCGCGUAGGAGGCUUGAGAAGGCCUGUCCCUAGUACGAGAGGACCGGGACGGACGAACCUCUGGUGUGCCAGUUGUUCCGCCAGGAGCACGGCUGGUUAGCUACGUUCGGAAGGGAUAACCGCUGAAAGCAUCUAAGCGGGAAGCCUGCUUCAAGACAAGGCCUCCCAUCCCGCCAUCGUGUGUUUUUGUUGGCUUAUUAGUACUGGUCAGCUUCACGUCUCUUUGGUGACGCUUCCACUU
rnacentral:rRNA from 1 species